CCAAUAAAAUACAAAUCUACUUAUAAACUUUUAUUAAGUAUUAGGAAUUGUCUCCUCCUCCCUCACCCGUUUUUCUCAGAAACCCUAACUCUCUUCCUUGAACAGAGAGAAAAACCCCAGUGUUCAAUCCCAAAUCGCUUUCGGAACCCUAGCGGAUCAGCACGCAUUAAUUUCGUCCGAUUUGAUUCAAUUGCUAAAGGAGGAGCACUUUGGGUUUUCUGGUGAGAUAAAUGGGAAAGAAGAAGAAGAGAUCAACCGAUAAGGUAUGGUGCUACUACUGUGACAGGGAGUUCGAUGAUGAGAAGAUUUUGGUUCAGCAUCAAAAGGCUAAACACUUCAAAUGCCAUGUUUGCCAUAAGAAGCUUUCUACUGCUGGCGGCAUGGCCAUUCACGUUCUCCAGGUUCACAAAGAAACCGUCAGCCAGGUACCAAAUGCCAAACCCGGUAGAGAGUCUACUGAUAUUGAAGUAUAUGGAAUGCAAGGAAUCCCAAGUGAUAUCUUAGCAGCUCACUAUGGAGAGGAAGAAGAUGAGUCCCCAGUGAAAACUGCCAAAGUGGACAUUCCAUCAUCCCAGUAUCUUGGUGGUGCAUUUCCAGGAUAUCCUCCCCGGGCAACUUUUGGCGCGGUGCCACCACUCUAUAAUCCUGCGCUGCCUAUGCCUCCUGCUGGUUGGUCAGCCCCCCCUCGCCAUCUUCCUUGGUAUUCACAGUAUCCUGCUGUCUCGGUUCCACCUCCUGCACUGAUGGGUCUGCCACAACAACCAUUAUUUCCUGUGCAACAUAUGAGGCCUCCAAUGCCAGCCACUGCACCACCAACACUUGUUGCUCCUCCAGGGCUCCCGACCCCACCUGUUCCCGUAUCUCAACCCUUGUUUCCUGUUGUUCCUAAUAACAAUAACCUUGCCCAAAGUUCGCCAUUCUCAGCGCCAAUGCUGUCAGCGAGUGUGCCAUUCAGCUCUGCAGUUGAAACAAAGAGCUUAUUUGACCCAAACAUGGGCAACAAUGCUCCUGCCGCCAUUGGUUAUCAGAUUUCAGUCUCAGCACCGGUAAAUUCACAUUCUUAUGCCUCUGGCCCAAAUACUGCUGGGCCCUCAAUUGGUCCACCACCUGUUAUUACCAACAAAGCUCCAGCUAAUCAACCAGCAACAAAUGAGGUCUACUUAGUUUGGGAUGAUGAGGCCAUGUCCAUGGAGGAAAGAAGAAUGUCCUUACCAAAGUAUCAGGUGCAUGAUGAGACUAGCCAGGUAAGUUAUAAUUACCUAAUACUAGUAUUUGUUCCUAUGAAUAUGGGACUUGUGUUGUAGGUUGGUGUUAGUUUCAUGUCUCGGAUUCAGUUGUUUACUAUUCUUUCAUAUUCGUAAAGCAAAUUUGUAAGUCUUUCCAUUCUCCUUCAUCUUCUUGGAAAUAGCAUACUCUUGGAUGAGUACACCUGGUAAUCAAUCAAUUUAGUGUAUGUUUCAACCCCAUUAAUUAAUGGGCUUCUUUUAUCUUCUUUUGGCCAUUCUCCGGUUGGCAAGCAAUCCCUACAGUUUUGUGGUCAUCAAUGAUUCAAGUAUGUAUCUUCAUUAUCUUUUGCUGGUAAUUAAGUAAUGCCAUUUCUAAUUACUGUGCUGCCAUCCACUCAAGGGGUAUCUCAGCAGAGUGCAUGUAAUUAGUUCUUGGAUAUUUCCAUGUUCACUUUGAGCUUUACUUGACCUUGAAAGAGUUGGGCUGUGUGAGCAAAGCAUGCAUAGACCCAACAGAUGUUUGCAAAUUACUAUGAUUGUUAAUAUAUUUAAGGUCGAAAAGUGGUUCAAAUUUGGCCCAGAUGACGUCAAUAGAUGCGGCAAUAGACAGAAGAAUAUCAGAAAGCAGACUUGCAGGGCGCAUGCCUUUCUAGACCUGACCGUUUUUGCUCUGGUUGGCAGGGUGCUCUCUGAAUUGUAGGAAAUUGUUUAAUUGACCAAAGUUCUGCUUCAAAAAAAAGAUUUGCUGGUUGUUCUGGAUUCAGAGGAUGGGUUUAGAUGUUGUAAUUUUUUAGGAAAAAAGUAUUUUAUGAGAGGCAUUCAUUUUACAUAGAUAGGAAUGUGAAAAAUGAGAAGCAAAUUUGUUUUCCUACAGAAUCAUUCCCGUUGCGACUUAGUCAUGCAACAAUGUGGGUUAGCCGGGAUAUAUAUAUAUAUAUAUAUUUAUGUAACUUGUGGUGCAAUUCGCUUUCAAGUCAAUACUGAUUACCUCAAUUCAUUUGAGUAAAAUUUUUAUGGAUAAUCAUAUUUGAAUAUUA